rnacentral:rRNA from 1 species
ACGAACGCUGGCGGCGUGCCUAAUACAUGCAAGUUGAGCGCUGAAGGUUGGUACUUGUACCGACUGGAUGAGCAGCGAACGGGUGAGUAACGCGUGGGGAAUCUGCCUUUGAGCGGGGGACAACAUUUGGAAACGAAUGCUAAUACCGCAUAAAAACUUUAAACACAAGUUUUAAGUUUGAAAGAUGCAAUUGCAUCACUCAAAGAUGAUCCCGCGUUGUAUUAGCUAGUUGGUGAGGUAAAGGCUCACCAAGGCGAUGAUACAUAGCCGACCUGAGAGGGUGAUCGGCCACAUUGGGACUGAGACACGGCCCAAACCCCUACGGGAGGCAGCAGUAGGGAAUCUUCGGCAAUGGACGAAAGUCUGACCGAGCAACGCCGCGGGAGUGAAGAAGGGUUUCGGACCGUAAAACUCUGUUGGUAGAGAAGAACGUUGGUGAGAGUGGAAAGCUCAUCAAGUGACGGUAACUACACAGAAAGGGACGGCUAACUACGUG